AGUGAACGCUGGCGGUGGGCCUAACACAUGCAAGUCGAACGGCAGCACAGGAGAGCUUGCUCUCUGGGUGGCGAGUGGCGGACGGGUGAGGAAUACAUCGGAAUCUACUCUGUCGUGGGGGAUAACGUAGGGAAACUUACGCUAAUACCGCAUACGACCUACGGGUGAAAGCAGGGGAUCUUCGGACCUUGCGCGAGUGAAUGAGCCGAUGUCGGAUUAGCUAGUUGGCGGGGUAAAGGCCCACCAAGGCGACGAUCCGUAGCUGGUCUGAGAGGAUGAUCAGCCACACUGGAACUGAGACACGGUCCAGACUCCUACGGGAGGCAGCAGUGGGGAAUAUUGGACAAUGGGCGCAAGCCUGAUCCAGCCAUACCGCGUGGGUGAAGAAGGCCUUCGGGUUGUAAAGCCCUUUUGUUGGGAAAGAAAUCCAGCUGGCUAAUACCCGGUUGGGAUGACGGUACCCAAAGAAUAAGCACCGGCUAACUUCGUGCCAGCAGCCGCCGCGG
rnacentral:rRNA from 1 species